UACGGAGGAUCCGAGCGUUAUCCGGAUUUACUGGGUUUAAAGGGUGCGUAGGCGGAUAUGUAAGCCAGCGGUGAAACUCACAGGCUCAACCUGUGCCGUGCCGUUGAAACUGUGUAUCUGGAAUGCGGUUGCUGUGGGUGGAAUGUGUGGUGUAGCGGUGAAAUGCUUAGAGAUCACACAGAAUAUCGAUUGCGAAGGCAGCUCACAAAGCCAAGAUUGACGCUGAGGCACGAAAGUGUGGGGAUCAAACA
rnacentral:rRNA from 1 species